rnacentral:lncRNA from 1 species
CUCCUACAAAUUCUUUAAAGAAUAGUACACCACGACAUAGUAAUGCAAUGCCUAGAGUUAAACCUAACAACUUUGGCAGAUACAUACUUGAAUUUGUACCAUUGUUCCUGCCAUCUUCUAUUAGUGCACAUUGUGUCUGCAUGAACAACCAACUUCAGUUAUAAGGAUUGUACACAAAUAGACUUAUUUGUAAAUAAAAAGUGCCAAGGAAUAAACACUGCAACAUAGUUGCUGAUAUUUAUUUAGCUACAUAAAGCAGGAACAUAAAUUUGAAGGAAAUAUGCCCUAGAGGCAAUAAUAAAGUUAUUAUUUAUUUCCUUAUAUCAUGAUAAAAGUUUAUUAUUCAUGCUAGAAUUGUAUUAACCGGAAACAUAAUACAUGUGUGAAUACAUAGACAAACAGAGUGUCACUAGUAUGCCUCUACUUGACUAGCUCGUUAAUCAAAGAUGGUUAUGUUUCCUAACCAUGGACAAAGAGUUAUCAUUUGAUUAACGGGAUCACAUCAUUAGUUGAAUGAUCUGAUUGACAUGACCCAUUCCAUUAGCUUAGCAACCGAUCGUUUAGUAUGUUGCUAUUGCUUUCUUCAUGACUUAUACAUGUUCCUAUGACUAUGCGAUUAUUUAACUCCCGUGUGCCGGAGGAACACUUUGUGUGCUACCAAACGUCACAACAUAACUGGGUGAUUAUAAAGGUGCUCUACAGGUGUCUCCAAAGGUACAUGUUGGGUUGACGUAUUUCGAGAUUAGGAUUUGUCACUCCGAUCAUCUGAGAGGUAUCUCUGGGCCCUCUCGAUAAUGCACAUCACUUAAGCCUUGCAAGCAUUGCAACUAAUGAGUUAGUUGCGGGAUGAUGUAUUACGGAACGAGUAAAGAGACUUACCGGUAACAAGAUUGAACUAGGUAUUGGAUACCGACGAUCGAAUCUCGGGCAAGUAACAUACCGAUGACAAAGGGAACAACGUAUGUUGUUAUGCGGUCUGCCGAUAAAAGAUCUUCGUAGAAUAUGUAGGAACCAAUAUGGGCAUCCAGGUCCCGCUAUUGGUUAUUGACCGGAGACGUGUCUCGGUCAUGUCUACAUUGUUCUCGAACCCGUAGGGUCCGCACGCUUAAGGUUACGAUGACAGUUAUAUUAUGAGUUUAUGCAUUUUGAUGUACCGAAGUUUGUUCGGAGUCUCGGAUGUGAUCACGGACAUGACGAGGAGUCUCGAAAUGGUCGAGACAUAAAGAUUGAUAUAUUGGAAGCCUAUGUUCGGAUAUCGGAAGUGUUCCGGGUGAAAUCGGGAUUUUACCGGAGUACCGGGAGGUUACCGGAACCCCCCGGGAGCUAUAUGGGCCUUAGUGGGCCUUAGUGGAAGAAGAGAAGAGGCGGCCAGGGCUGGGCCGCGCGCCCCUCCCCCCUAGUCCGAAUAGGACAAGGAGAGAGGGGGCCGGCGCCCCCCUCCUUCUCUCUCCGUCUUUUCCCACCUCGCGAGUCCUAUUCCAACUAGGAUUGGGGGGGGGGAAGUCCUACUCUUGGAGGGAGUAGGACUCCUCCUGGCGCGCCCUAUGAUGGCCGGCCGGCCUCCCCCUCUUGAACCUUUAUAUACGGAGGCAGGGGCACCCCUAGAGAGACAAGUUGAUCCACGUGAUCAUAUUCUUAGCCGUGUGCGGCGCCCCCUUACACCGUAGUCCUCGAUAAUAUUGUAGCGGUGCUUAGGCGAAGCCCUGCGAUAGUAGUACAUCAAGAUCGUCACCACGCCGUUGUGCUGACGAAACUCUUCCCCGACACUUUGCUGGAUCGGAGUCCGGGGAUCGUCAUCGAGCUGGACGUGUGCUAGAACUCGGAGGUGCCGUAGUUUCGGUGCUUGAUCGGUCGGGCCGUGGAUUCGUACGACUACAUCAACCAAACGCUUCCGUUGUCGAUCUACAAGGGUAUGUAGAUCACACUCUCCCCUCUCGUUGCUAUGCAUCACCAUGAUCUUGCGUGUGCGUAGGAAUUUUUUUGAAAUUACUACGUUCCCCAACAGUGGUAUCAGAGCCUAGGUUUUAUAUGUUGAUGUUAUAUGCACGAGUAGAACACAAGUGAGUUGUGGGCGAUAUAAGUCAUACUGCUUACCAGCAUGUCAUACUUUGGUUCGGCGGUAUUGUUGGACGAAGCGGCCCGGACCGACAUUACGCGUACGCUUACGCGAGACCGGUUCUCCCGACGUGCUUUGCACAUAGGUGGCUUGCGGGUGACAGUUUCUCCAACUUUAGUUGAACCGAGUGUGGCUACGCCCGGUCCUUGCGAAGGUUAAAACAACACCAACUUGACAAACUAUCGUUGUGGUUUUGAUGCGUAGGUAAGAUUGGUUCUUGCUUAAGCCCGUAGCAGCCACGUAAAACUUGCAACAACAAAGUAGAGGACGUCUAACUUGUUUUUGCAGGGCAUGUAGUGAUGUGAUAUGGUCAAGACAUGAUGCUAAAUUUUAUUGUAUGAGAUGAUCAUGUUUUGUAACCGAGUUAUCGGCAACUGGCAGGAGCCAUAUGGUUGUCGCUUUAUUGUAUGCAAUGCAAUCGCGCUGUAAUGCUUUACUUUAUCACUAAGCGGAAGCGAUAGUCGUGGAAGCAUAAGAUUGGCGAGACGACAACGAUGCUACGAUGGAGAUCAAGGUGUCGCACCGGUGACGAUGGUGAUCAUGACGGUGCUUCGGAGAUGGAGAUCACAGGCACAAGAUGAUGAUGGCCAUAUCAUAUCACUUAUAUUGAUUGCAUGUGAUGUUUAUCUUUUAUGCAUUUUAUCUUGCUUUGAUUGACGGUAGCAUUAUAAGAUGAUCUCUCACUAAAUUAUCAAGAAGUGUUCUCCCUGAGUAUGCACCGUUGCCAAAGUUCGUCAUGCCCAGACACCAUGUGAUGAUCGGGUGUGAUAAGCUCUACGUCCAUCUACAACGGGUGCAAGCCAGUUUUGCACACGCAGAAUACUCAGGUUAAACUUGACGAGCCUAGCAUAUGCAGAUAUGGCCUCGGAACACUGAGACCGAAAGGUCGAGCGUGAAUCAUAUAGUAGAUAUGAUCAACAUAGUGAUGUUCACCAUUGAAAGCUACUCCAUUUCACGUGAUGAUCGGUUAUGGUUUAGUUGAUUUGGAUCACGUGAUCACUUAGAGGAUUAGAGGGAUGUCUAUCUAAGUGGGAGUUCUUUAAGUAAUUUGAUUAAUUGAACUUAAAUUUAUCAUGAACUUAGUACCUGAUAGUAUCUUGCUUAUGUAUGUUUGAUUGUAGAUAGAUGGCCCGUGCUGUUGUUCCAUUGAAUUUUAAUGCGUUCCUUGAGAAAGCAAAGUUGAAAGAUGAUGGUAGCAAUUACACGGACUGUGUCUGUAACUUGAGGAUUAUCCUCAUUGCUGCACAGAAGAAUUACGUCCUGGAAGCACCGCUGGGUGCCAGGCCUGCUGCUGGAGCAACACCAGAUGUUAUGAACGUCUGGCAGAGCAAAGCUGAUGACUACUCGAUAGUUCAGUGUGCCAUGCUUUACGGCUUAGAAUCGGGACUUCAAUGACGUUUUGAACGUCAUGGAGCAUAUGAGAUGUUCCAGGAGUUGAAGUUAAUAUUUCAAGCAAAUGCCCGGAUUGAGAGAUAUGAAGUCUCCAAUAAGUUCUAUAGCUGCAAGAUGGAGGAGAACAGUUCAGUCAGUGAGCAUAUACUCAAAAUGUAUGGGUAUAAUAAUCACUUGAUUCAGAUGGGAGUUAAUCUUCCAGAUGAUUGCGUCAUUGACAUAAUUCUCCAAUCACCGCCACCAAGCUACAAGAGCUUCGUGAUGAACUAUAAUAUGCAAGGGAUAAAUAAGACUAUUCCCGAGCUCUUCGCAAUGCUGAAAGCUGCGGAGGUAGAAAUCAAAAAGGAGCAUCAAGUGUUGAUGGUCAACAAGACCACUGGUUUCAAGAAAAAGGGCAAAGGGAAGAAGAAGGAGAACUUCAAGAAGAACAUCAAGCAAGUUGCUUCUCAAGAGAAGAAACCCAAGUCUGGACCUAAGCCUGAAACUGAGUGCUUCUACUGCAAGCAGACUGGUCACUGGAAGCGGAACUGCCCCAAGUAUUUGGCGGAUAAGAAGGAUGGCAAGGUGAACAAAGGUAUAUGUGAUAUACAUGUUAUUGAUGUGUACCUUACUAGAGCUCGCGGUAGCACCUGGGUAUUUGAUACUGGUUCUGUUGCUAAUAUUUGCAACUCGAAACAGGGACUACAGAUUAAGCGAACACUGGCAAAGGACGAGGUGAUGAUGCGCGUAGGAAAUGGUUCCAAAGUCGAUGUGAUCGCGGUCGGCACGCUACCUCUACAUCUACCUUCAGGAUUAGUAUUAGACCUAAAUAAUUGUUAUUUGGUUCCAGCGUUGAGCAUGAACAUUAUAUCUGGAUCUUGUUUAAUGCGAGACGGUUAUUCAUUUAAAUCGGAGAAUAAUGGUUGUUCUAUUUAUAUGAGUAAUAUCUUUUAUGGUCAUGCCCCUUUGAAGAGUGGUCUAUUUUUGAUGAAUCUCGAUAGUAGUAACACACAUAUUCAUAAUGUUGAAACCAAAAGAUGCAGAGUUGAUAAUGAUAGUGCAACUUAUUUGUGGCACUACCGUUUAGGUCAUAUCGGUAUAAAGUGCAUGAAGAAACUCCAUACUGAUGGACUUUUGGAACCACUUGAUUAUGAAUCACUUGGUACUUGUGAACCGUGCCUCAUGGGCAAGAUGACUAAAACACCGUUCUCCGGUACUAUGGAGAGAGCAACAGAUUUGUUGGAAAUCAUACAUACAGAUGUAUGUGGUCCGAUGAAUAUUGAGGCUCAUGGCGGAUAUCGUUAUUUUCUCACCUUCACAGAUGACUUAAGCAGAUAUGGGUAUAUCUACUUAAUGAAACAUAAGUUUGAAACAUUUGAAAAGUUCAAAGAAUUUCAGAGUGAAGUUGAAAAUCAUCGUAACAAGAAAAUAAAGUUUCUACGAUCUGAUCGUGGAGGAGAAUAUUUGAGUUACGAGUUUGGUGUACAUUUGAAACAAUGCGGAAUAGUUUCGCAACUCACGCCACCCGGAACACCACAGCGUAAUGGUGUGUCCGAACGUCGUAAUCGUACUUUACUAGAUAUGGUGCGAUCUAUGACGUCUCUUACUGAUUUACCGCUAUCGUUUUGGGGUUAUGCUUUAGAGACGGCCGCAUUCACGUUAAAUAGGGCACCAUCAAAAUCCGUUGAGACGACGCCUUAUGAACUAUGGUUUGGCAAGAAACCAAAGUUGUCGUUUCUUAAAGUUUGGGGCUGCGAUGCUUAUGUGAAAAAGCUUCAACCUGAUAAGCUCGAACCCAAAUCGGAGAAAUGUGUCUUCAUAGGAUACCCAAAGGAGACUGUUGGGUACACCUUCUAUCACAGAUCGAAGGCAGGACAUUCGUUGCUAAGAAUGGAUCCUUUCUAGAGAAGGAGUUUGGCCUUCAGUUAAAACAAUGUGAAAUAGUUUCACUACUCAUGCCACCUGGAACACCACAAUGUAAUGGUGUGUCCAAACGUCAUAACCGUACUGUAUUUGAUAUAGUGCAAUCUAUGAUGUCUCUUACCGAUUUACCACUAUUGAUUUGGGGUUAUGCAUUAGAGUCAGCUGCAUUCACGUUAAAUAGGGCACCAUCUAAAUCUGUUGAGAUGACACCGUAUGAACUAUAGUUUGGCAAGAAACCUAAGCUGCCGUUUCUUAAAGUUUGAGGUUGCAAUGCUUAUGUGAAAAAGUUUCAACCUGAUAAGCUCAAACCCAAAUCAGAGAAGUGCGUCUUCAUAGGAUACCCAAAAUAAAAAUGUUGGGUACACCUUCUAUCAUAGAUCCGAAGGCAAGAUAUUCAUUGCUGAGAAUGGAUCCUUUCUAGAGAAGGAGUUUCUCUCGAAAGAAGUGAGUGGGAGGAAAGUAGAACUUGACGAGGUAACUGUACCUGCUCCCUUAUUGGAAAGUAGUACAUCACAGAAACCUGUUUCUGCGACACCUACACCAAUUAGUGAAGAAGCUAAUGAUAAUGAUCAUGAAACUUCAGAACAAGAUACUACUGAACCUCGUAGAUCAACCAGAGUAAGAUCCGCGCCGGAGUGGUACGGUAAUCCUGUUCUGGAAAUCAUGCUACUAGAUCAUGAUGAACCUACGAACUAUGAAGAAGCGACGGUGAGCCCAGAUUCCGCAAAAUGGCUUGAAGCCAUGAAAUCUGAGAUGGGAUCCAUGUAUGAGAACAAAGUAUGGACUUUGGUUGACUUGCCCGAUGAUCGGCAAGCAAUUGAGAAUAAAUGGAUCUUCAAGAAGAAGACUGACACUGACGGUAAUAUUACUGUCUAUAAAGCUCGACUUGUCGCAAAGGGUUUUCGACAAGUUCAAGGGGUUGACUACGAUGAGACCUUCUCACCCGUAGCGAUGCUUAAGUCUGUCCGAAUCAUGUUAGCAAUUGCCGCAUUUUAUGAUUAUGAAAUUUGGCAGAUGGAUGUCAAAACUGCAUUCCUGAAUGGAUUUCUGGAAGAAGAGUUGUAUAUGAUGCAACCGGAAGGUUUUGUCGAUCCAAAGGGAGCUAACAAAGUGUGCAAGCUCCAGCGAUCCAUUUAUGGACUGGUGCAAGCCUCUCAGAGUUGGAAUAAACGCUUUGAUAGUGUGAUCAAAGCAUUUGGUUUUAUACAGACUUUCGGAGAAGCCUGUAUUUACAAGAAAGUGAGUGGGAGCUCUGUAGCAUUUCUGAUAUUAUAUGUGGAUGACAUAUUACUGAUUGGAAAUGAUAUAGAAUUUCUGGAUAGCAUAAAGGGAUACUUGAAUAAGAGUUUUUCAAUGAAAGACCUCGGUGAAGCUGCUUACAUAUUAGGCAUAACGAUCUAUAGAGAUAGAUCAAUACGCUUAAUUGGACUUUCACAAAGCACAUACCUUGACAAGAUUUUGAAGAAGUUCAAAAUGGAUCAAGCAAAGAAAGGGUUCUUGCCUGUGUUACAAGGUGUGAAGUUGAGUCAGACUCAAUGCCCGACCACUGCAGAAGAUAGAGAGAAAAUGAAAGAUGUUCCCUAUGCUUCAGCCAUAGGCUCUAUCAUGUAUGCAAUGCUGUGUACCAGACCUGAUGUGUGCCUUGCUAUAAGUUUAGCAGGGAGGUACCAAAGUAAUCCAGGAGUGGAUCACUAGACAGCGGUCAAGAACAUCCUGAAGUACCUGAAAAGGACUAAUUAUAUGUUUCUCGUAUAUGGAGGUGACAAAGAGCUCAUCGUAAAUGGUUACGUUGAUGCAAGCUUUGACACUGAUCCGGACGAUUCUAAAUCGCAAACCGGAUACGUGUUUACAUUAAACGGUGGAGCUGUCAGUUGGUGCAGUUCUAAACAAAGCGUCGUGGCGAGAUCUACAUGUGAAGCGGAGUACAUAGCUGCUUCGGAAGCAGCAGACAAAGGAGUCUGGAUGAAGGAGUUCAUAUACGAUCUAGGUGUCAUACCUAGUGCAUCGGGUCCAAUGAAAAUCUUUUGUGACAAUACUGGUGCAAUUGCCUUGGCGAAGGAAUCCAGAUUUCACAAAAGAACCAAGCACAUCAAAAGACGCUUCAAUUCCAUCCGGGAUUUAGUCCAGGUGGGAGACAUAGAGAUUUGCAAGAUACAUACGGAGCUGAAUGUAGCAGACCCGUUGACUAAGCCUCUUCCACGAGCAAAACAUGAUCAGCACCAAAGCUCCAUGGGUGUUAGAAUCAUUAUUGUGUAAUCUAGAUUAUUGACUCUAGUGCAAGUGGGAGACUGAAGGAAAUAUGCCCUAGAGGCAAUAAUAAAGUUAUUAUUUAUUUCCUUAUAUCAUGAUAAAAGUUUAUUAUUCAUGCUAGAAUUGUAUUAACCGGAAACAUAAUACAUGUGUGAAUACAUAGACAAACAGAGUGUCACUAGUAUGCCUAUACUUGACUAGCUCGUUAAUCAAAGAUGGUUAUGUUUCCUAACCAUGGACAAAGAGUUGUCAUUUGAUUAACGGGAUCACAUCAUUAGUUGAAUGAUCUGAUUGACAUGACCCAUUCCAUUAGCUUAGCACCCGAUCGUUUAGUAUGUUGCUAUUGCUUUCUUCAUGACUUAUACAUGUUCCUAUGACUAUGAGAUUAUGUAACUCCCGUGUGCCGGAGGAACACUUUGUGUGCUACCAAACGUCACAACAUAACUGGGUGAUUAUAAAGGUGCUCUACAGGUGUCUCCAAAGGUACAUGUUGGGUUGACGUAUUUCGAGAUUAGGAUUUGUCACUCCGAGCAUCGGAGAGGUAUCUCUGGGCCCUCUCGGUAAUGCACAUCACUUUAGCCUUGCAAGCAUUGCAACUAAUGAGUUAGUUGCGGGAUGAUGUAUUACGGAACGAGUAAAGAGACUUGCCGGUAACGAGAUUGAACUAGGUAUUGGAUACCGACGAUCGAAUCUCGGGCAAGUAACAUACCGAUGACAAAGGGAACAACGUAUGUUGUUAUGCGGUCUGACCGAUAAAAGAUCUUCGUAGAAUAUGUAGGAACCAAUAUGGGCAUCCAGGUCCCGCUAUUGGUUAUUGACCGGAGAUGUGUCUCGGUCAUGUCUACAUUGUUCUCGAACCCAUAGGGUCCGCACGCUUAAGGUUACGAUGACAGUUAUAUUAUGAGUUUAUGCAUUUUGAUGUACCGAAGUUUGUUCGGAGUCCCGGAUGUGAUCACGGACAUGACGAGGAGUCUCGAAAUGGUCGAGACAUAAAGAUUGAUAUAUUGGAAGCCUAUGUUUGGAUAUCGGAAUUGUUCCGGGUGAAAUCGGGAUUUUACCGGAGUACCGGGAGGUUACCGGAACCCCCCGGGAGCUAUAUGGGCCUUAGUGGGCCUUAGUGGAAGAAGAGGAGAGGCGGCCAGGGCUGGGCCGCGCGCCCCUCCCCCCUAGUCCGAAUAGGACAAGGAGAGAGGGGGCCGGCGCCCCCCUCCUUCUCUCUCCCUCUUUUCCCACCUCACGAGUCCUAUUCCAACUAGGAUUUGGGGGGAAGUCCUACUCCCGGAGGGAGUAGGGCUCCUCCUGGCGCGCCCUAUGAUGGCCGGCCGGCCUCCCCCUCUUGAACCUUUAUAUACGGAGGCAGGGGCACCCCUAGAGAGACAAGUUGAUCCACGUGAUCAUAAUCUUAGCCGUGUGCGGCGCCCCCUUCCACCGUAGUCCUCGAUAAUAUUGUAGCGGUGCUUAGGCGAAGCCCUGCGACAGUAGUACAUCAAGAUCGUCACCACGCCGUUGUGCUGACGGAACUCUUCCCCGACACUUUGCUGGAUCAGAGUCCGGGGAUCAUCAUCAAGCUAAACGUGUGCUAGAACUCGGAGGUGCCGUAGUUUCGGUGCUUGAUCGGUCGGGCCGUGGAGACGUACGACUACAUCAACCAAACGCUUCUGUUGUCGAUCUACAAGGGUACGUAGAUCACACUCUCCCCUCUCGUUGCUAUGCAUCACGAUGAUCUUGCGUGUGCGUAUGAAUUUUUUUGAAAUUACUACGUUCCCCAACAGUGGUAUCAGAGCCUAGGUUUUAUAUGUUGAUGUUAUAUGCACGAGUAGAACACAAGUGAGUUGUAGGCGAUAUAAGUCAUACUGCUUACCAGCAUGUCAUACUUUGGUUCGGCGGUAUUGUUGGACGAAGCGGCCCAGACCGACAUUACGCGUACGCUUACGCGAGACCGGUUCUCCCGACGUGCUUUGCACAUAGGUGGCUUGUGGGUGACAGUUUCUCCAACUUUAGUUGAACCGAGUGUGGCUACGCCCGGUCCUUGCGAAGGUUAAAACAGCACCAACUUGACAAACUAUCGUUGUGGUUUUGAUGCGUAGGUAAGAUUGGUUCUUGCUUAAGCCCGUAGCAGCCACGUAAAACUUGCAACAACAAAGUAGAGGACGUCUAACUUGUUUUUGCAGGGCAUGUAGUGAUGUGAUAUGGUCAAGACAUGAUGCUAAAUUUUAUUGUAUGAGAUGAUCAUGUUUUGUAACCGAGUUAUCGGCAACUGGCAGGAGCCAUAUGGUUGUCGCUUUAUUGUAUGCAAUGCAAUCGCGCUGUAAUGCUUUACUUUAUCACUAAGCGGAAGCGAUAGUCGUGGAAGCAUAAGAUUGGCGAGACGACAACGAUGCUACGAUGGAGAUCAAGGUGUCGCACCGGUGACGAUGGUGAUCAUGACGGUGCUUCGGAGAUGGAGAUCACAGGCACAAGAUGAUGAUGGCCAUAUCAUAUCACUUAUAUUGAUUGCAUGUGAUGUUUAUCUUUUAUGCAUUUUAUCUUGCUUUGAUUGACGGUAGCAUUAUAAGAUGAUCUCUCACUAAAUUAUCAAGAAGUGUUCUCCCUGAGUAUGCACCGUUGCCAAAGUUCGUCAUGCCCAGACACCAUGUGAUGAUCGGGUGUGAUAAGCUCUACGUCCAUCUACAACGGGUGCAAGCCAGUUUUGCACACGCAGAAUACUCAGGUUAAACUUGACGAGCCUAGCAUAUGCAGAUAUGGCCUCGGAACACUGAGACCGAAAGGUCGAGCGUGAAUCAUAUAGUAGAUAUGAUCAACAUAGUGAUGUUCACCAUUGAAAGCUACUCCAUUUCACGUGAUGAUUGGUUAUGGUUUAGUUGAUUUGGAUCACGUGAUCACUUAGAGGAUUAGAGGGAUGUCUAUCUAAGUGGGAGUUCUUUAAGUAAUUUGAUUAAUUGAACUUAAAUUUAUCAUGAACUUAGUACCUGAUAGUAUCUUGCUUAUGUAUGUUUGAUUGUAGAUAGAUGGCCCGUGCUGUUGUUCCAUUGAAUUUUAAUGCGUUCCUUGAGAAAGCAAAGUUGAAAGAUGAUGGUAGCAAUUACACGGACUGUGUCUGUAACUUGAGGAUUAUCCUCAUUGCUGCACAGAAGAAUUACGUCCUGGAAGCACCGCUGGGUGCCAGGCCUGCUGCUGGAGCAACACCAGAUGUUAUGAACGUCUGGCAGAGCAAAGCUGAUGACUACUCGAUAGUUCAGUGUGCCAUGCUUUACGGCUUAGAAUCGGGACUUCAAUGACGUUUUGAACGUCAUGGAGCAUAUGAGAUGUUCCAGGAGUUGAAGUUAAUAUUUCAAGCAAAUGCCCGGAUUGAGAGAUAUGAAGUCUCCAAUAAGUUCUAUAGCUGCAAGAUGGAGGAGAACAGUUCAGUCAGUGAGCAUAUACUCAAAAUGUAUGGGUAUAAUAAUCACUUGAUUCAGAUGGGAGUUAAUCUUCCAGAUGAUUGCGUCAUUGACAUAAUUCUCCAAUCACCGCCACCAAGCUACAAGAGCUUCGUGAUGAACUAUAAUAUGCAAGGGAUAAAUAAGACUAUUCCCGAGCUCUUCGCAAUGCUGAAAGCUGCGGAGGUAGAAAUCAAAAAGGAGCAUCAAGUGUUGAUGGUCAACAAGACCACUGGUUUCAAGAAAAAGGGCAAAGGGAAGAAGAAGGAGAACUUCAAGAAGAACAUCAAGCAAGUUGCUGCUCAAGAGAAGAAACCCAAGUCUGGACCUAAGCCUGAAACUGAGUGCUUCUACUGCAAGCAGACUGGUCACUGGAAGCGGAACUGCCCCAAGUAUUUGGCGGAUAAGAAGGAUGGCAAGGUGAACAAAGGUAUAUGUGAUAUACAUGUUAUUGAUGUGUACCUUACUAGAGCUCGCGGUAGCACCUGGGUAUUUGAUACUGGUUCUGUUGCUAAUAUUUGCAACUCGAAACAGGGACUACAGAUUAAGCGAACACUGGCAAAGGACGAGGUGAUGAUGCGCGUAGGAAAUGGUUCCAAAGUCGAUGUGAUCGCGGUCGGCACGCUACCUCUACAUCUACCUUCAGGAUUAGUAUUAGACCUAAAUAAUUGUUAUUUGGUUCCAGCGUUGAGCAUGAACAUUAUAUCUGGAUCUUGUUUAAUGCGAGACGGUUAUUCAUUUAAAUCAGAGAAUAAUGGUUGUUCUAUUUAUAUGAGUAAUAUCUUUUAUGGUCAUGCACCUUUGAAGAGUGGUCUAUUUUUGAUGAAUCUCGAUAGUAGUAACACACAUAUUCAUAAUGUUGAAACCAAAAGAUGCAGAGUUGAUAAUGAUAGUGCAACUUAUUUGUGGCACUACCGUUUAGGUCAUAUCGGUAUAAAGUGCAUGAAGAAACUCCAUACUGAUGGACUUUUGGAACCACUUGAUUAUGAAUCACUUGGUACUUGUGAACCGUGCCUCAUGGGCAAGAUGACUAAAACACCGUUCUCCGGUACUAUGGAGAGAGCAACAGAUUUGUUGGAAAUCAUACAUACAGAUGUAUGUGGUCCGAUGAAUAUUGAGGCUCGUGGCGGAUAUCGUUAUUUUCUCACCUUCACAGAUGACUUAAGCAGAUAUGGGUAUAUCUACUUAAUGAAACAUAAGUUUGAAACAUUUGAAAAGUUCAAAGAAUUUCAGAGUGAAGUUGAAAAUCAUCGUAACAAGAAAAUAAAGUUUCUACGAUCUGAUCGUGGAGGAGAAUAUUUGAGUUACGAGUUUGGUGUACAUUUGAAACAAUGCGGAAUAGUUUCGCAACUCACGCCACCCGGAACACCACAGCGUAAUGGUGUGUCCGAACGUCGUAAUCGUACUUUACUAGAUAUGGUGCGAUCUAUGACGUCUCUUACUGAUUUACCGCUAUCGUUUUGGGGUUAUGCUUUAGAGACGGCCGCAUUCACGUUAAAUAGGGCACCAUCAAAAUCCGUUGAGACGACGCCUUAUGAACUAUGGUUUGGCAAGAAACCAAAGUUGUCGUUUCUUAAAGUUUGGGGCUGCGAUGCUUAUGUGAAAAAGCUUCAACCUGAUAAGCUCGAACCCAAAUCGGAGAAAUGUGUCUUCAUAGGAUACCCAAAGGAGACUGUUGGGUACACCUUCUAUCACAGAUCGAAGGCAGGACAUUCGUUGCUAAGAAUGGAUCCUUUCUAGAGAAGGAGUUUGGCCUUCAGUUAAAACAAUGUGAAAUAGUUUCACUACUCAUGCCACCUGGAACACCACAAUGUAAUGGUGUGUCCAAACGUCAUAACCGUACUGUAUUUGAUAUAGUGCAAUCUAUGAUGUCUCUUACCGAUUUACCACUAUUGAUUUGGGGUUAUGCAUUAGAGUCAGCUGCAUUCACGUUAAAUAGGGCACCAUCUAAAUCUGUUGAGAUGACACCGUAUGAACUAUAGUUUGGCAAGAAACCUAAGCUGCCGUUUCUUAAAGUUUGAGGUUGCAAUGCUUAUGUGAAAAAGUUUCAACCUGAUAAGCUCAAACCCAAAUCAGAGAAGUGCGUCUUCAUAGGAUACCCAAAAUAAAAAUGUUGGGUACACCUUCUAUCAUAGAUCCGAAGGCAAGAUAUUCAUUGCUGAGAAUGGAUCCUUUCUAGAGAAGGAGUUUCUCUCGAAAGAAGUGAGUGGGAGGAAAGUAGAACUUGACGAGGUAACUGUACCUGCUCCCUUAUUGGAAAGUAGUACAUCACAGAAACCUGUUUCUGCGACACCUACACCAAUUAGUGAAGAAGCUAAUGAUAAUGAUCAUGAAACUUCAGAACAAGAUACUACUGAACCUCGUAGAUCAACCAGAGUAAGAUCCGCGCCGGAGUGGUACGGUAAUCCUGUUCUGGAAAUCAUGCUACUAGAUCAUGAUGAACCUACGAACUAUGAAGAAGCGACGGUGAGCCUAGAUUCCGCAAAAUGGCUUGAAGCCAUGAAAUCUGAGAUGGGAUCCAUGUAUGAGAACAAAGUAUGGACUUUGGUUGACUUGCCCGAUGAUCGGCAAGCAAUUGAGAAUAAAUGGAUCUUCAAGAAGAAGACUGACACUGACGGUAAUAUUACUGUCUAUAAAGCUCGACUUGUCGCAAAGGGUUUUCGACAAGUUCAAGGGGUUGACUACGAUGAGACCUUCUCACCCGUAGCGAUGCUUAAGUCUGUCCGAAUCAUGUUAGCAAUUGCCGCAUUUUAUGAUUAUGAAAUUUGGCAGAUGGAUGUCAAAACUGCAUUCCUGAAUGGAUUUCUGGAAGAAGAGUUGUAUAUGAUGCAACCGGAAGGUUUUGUCGAUCCAAAGGGAGCUAACAAAGUGUGCAAGCUCCAGCGAUCCAUUUAUGGACUGGUGCAAGCCUCUCAGAGUUGGAAUAAACGCUUUGAUAGUGUGAUCAAAGCAUUUGGUUUUAUACAGACUUUCGGAGAAGCCUGUAUUUACAAGAAAGUGAGUGGGAGCUCUGUAGCAUUUCUGAUAUUAUAUGUGGAUGACAUAUUACUGAUUGGAAAUGAUAUAGAAUUUCUGGAUAGCAUAAAGGGAUACUUGAAUAAGAGUUUUUCAAUGAAAGACCUCGGUGAAGCUGCUUACAUAUUAGGCAUAAAGAUCUAUAGAGAUAGAUCAAUACGCUUAAUUGGACUUUCACAAAGCACAUACCUUGACAAGAUUUUGAAGAAGUUCAAAAUGGAUCAAGCAAAGAAAGGGUUCUUGCCUGUGUUACAAGGUGUGAAGUUGAGUCAGACUCAAUGCCCGACCACUGCAGAAGAUAGAGAGAAAAUGAAAGAUGUUCCCUAUGCUUCAGCCAUAGGCUCUAUCAUGUAUGCAAUGCUGUGUACCAGACCUGAUGUGUGCCUUGCUAUAAGUUUAGCAGGGAGGUACCAAAGUAAUCCAGGAGUGGAUCACUAGACAGCGGUCAAGAACAUCCUGAAGUACCUGAAAAGGACUAAUUAUAUGUUUCUCGUAUAUGGAGGUGACAAAGAGCUCAUCGUAAAUGGUUACGUUGAUGCAAGCUUUGACACUGAUCCAGACGAUUCUAAAUCGCAAACCGGAUACGUGUUUACAUUAAACGGUGGAGCUGUCAGUUGGUGCAGUUCUAAACAAAGCGUCGUGGCGAGAUCUACAUGUGAAGCGGAGUACAUAGCUGCUUCGGAAGCAGCAGACGAAGGAGUCUGGAUGAAGGAGUUCAUAUACGAUCUAGGUGUCAUACCUAGUGCAUCGGGUCCAAUGAAAAUCUUUUGUGACAAUACUGGUGCAAUUGCCUUGGCGAAGGAAUCCAGAUUUCACAAAAGAACCAAGCACAUCAAAAGACGCUUCAAUUCCAUCCGGGAUUUAGUCCAGGUGGGAGACAUAGAGAUUUGCAAGAUACAUACGGAGCUGAAUGUAGCAGACCCGUUGACUAAGCCUCUUCCACGAGCAAAACAUGAUCAGCACCAAAGCUCCAUGGGUGUUAGAAUCAUUAUUGUGUAAUCUAGAUUAUUGACUCUAGUGCAAGUGGGAGACUGAAGGAAAUAUGCCCUAGAGGCAAUAAUAAAGUUAUUAUUUAUUUCCUUAUAUCAUGAUAAAAGUUUAUUAUUCAUGCUAGAAUUGUAUUAACCGGAAACAUAAUACAUGUGUGAAUACAUAGACAAACAGAGUGUCACUAGUAUGCCUAUACUUGACUAGCUCGUUAAUCAAAGAUGGUUAUGUUUCCUAACCAUGGACAAAGAGUUGUCAUUUGAUUAACGGGAUCACAUCAUUAGUUGAAUGAUCUGAUUGACAUGACCCAUUCCAUUAGCUUAGCACCCGAUCGUUUAGUAUGUUGCUAUUGCUUUCUUCAUGACUUAUACAUGUUCCUAUGACUAUGAGAUUAUGUAACUCCCGUGUGCCGGAGGAACACUUUGUGUGCUACCAAACGUCACAACAUAACUGGGUGAUUAUAAAGGUGCUCUACAGGUGUCUCCAAAGGUACAUGUUGGGUUGACGUAUUUCGAGAUUAGGAUUUGUCACUCCGAGCAUCGGAGAGGUAUCUCUGGGCCCUCUCGGUAAUGCACAUCACUUUAGCCUUGCAAGCAUUGCAACUAAUGAGUUAGUUGCGGGAUGAUGUAUUACGGAACGAGUAAAGAGACUUGCCGGUAACGAGAUUGAACUAGGUAUUGGAUACCGACGAUCGAAUCUCGGGCAAGUAACAUACCGAUGACAAAGGGAACAACGUAUGUUGUUAUGCGGUCUGACCGAUAAAAGAUCUUCGUAGAAUAUGUAGGAACCAAUAUGGGCAUCCAGGUCCCGCUAUUGGUUAUUGACCGGAGAUGUGUCUCGGUCAUGUCUACAUUGUUCUCGAACCCAUAGGGUCCGCACGCUUAAGGUUACGAUGACAGUUAUAUUAUGAGUUUAUGCAUUUUGAUGUACCGAAGUUUGUUCGGAGUCCCGGAUGUGAUCACGGACAUGACGAGGAGUCUCGAAAUGGUCGAGACAUAAAGAUUGAUAUAUUGGAAGCCUAUGUUUGGAUAUCGGAAUUGUUCCGGGUGAAAUCGGGAUUUUACCGGAGUACCGGGAGGUUACCGGAACCCCCCGGGAGCUAUAUGGGCCUUAGUGGGCCUUAGUGGAAGAAGAGGAGAGGCGGCCAGGGCUGGGCCGCGCGCCCCUCCCCCCUAGUCCGAAUAGGACAAGGAGAGAGGGGGCCGGCGCCCCCCUCCUUCUCUCUCCCUCUUUUCCCACCUCGCGAGUCCUAUUCCAACUAGGAUUUGGGGGGAAGUCCUACUCCCGGAGGGAGUAGGGCUCCUCCUGGCGCGCCCUAUGAUGGCCGGCCAGCCUCCCCCUCUUGAACCUUUAUAUACGGAGGCAGGGGCACCCCUAGAGAGACAAGUUGAUCCACGUGAUCAUAAUCUUAGCCGUGUGCGGCGCCCCCUUCCACCGUAGUCCUCGAUAAUAUUGUAGCGGUGCUUAGGCGAAGCCCUGCGACAGUAGUACAUCAAGAUCGUCACCACGCUGUCGUGCUGACGGAACUCUUCCCCGACACUUUGCUGGAUCAGAGUCCGGGGAUCGUCAUCAAGCUAAACGUGUGCUAGAACUCGGAGGUGCCGUAGUUUCGGUGCUUGAUCGGUCGGGCCAUGGAGACGUACGACUACAUCAACCAAACGCUUCCGUUGUCGAUCUACAAGGGUACGUAGAUCACACUCUCCCCUCUCGUUGCUAUGCAUCACGAUGAUCUUGCGUGUGCGUAUGAAUUUUUUUGAAAUUACUACGUUCCCCAACAAAAUUCCACAGCAAGUAAGUUGUUAUUUGAAAAUGUACACACAGAGAUAAGAGAGAACUUAUAUAUGGACAUGGAAAAAAAAUCUGUCUGAAUUCAGUAGAUAUUAUUUCUCUCUAUCAAUGUAUAGCUGUUGUAUUAGGAGGAUCUGUUUGUUUGAAUAAAAAUUAACCCAUAUAUUUUAAGCUAUAUAUUUUAAGCUAUAUAGAAUCAUGUAACUGAAAUAGUAGUACAUAGCUACAAUGGCAUGCAUCCUAUUGGCUCUUACACAGUAAUAACUGGAUCACUAUGUAAUCAUGUUACUGAAACAAUACAUAAGCACAUGCAGUCUGCAUGUCAAGUUUUCUCUAAGAAUAAAUUUAGGUAUAUGUCACAAUAAAAUCGGAGUAGAGAUUGUUCAAUAGAAAACUGGUAGUUCACUUUGUUUCGUAUAUCCAGUUGUCUCUACUAAGAGUUUUACUGCAAGCAAAAAACUUGAACAAAUCUGAGCCUUCGAUCCAAAAUUAAAAUCUGCAGAUCUGAAAAUAAAAAAGGGACCGAUAGAACAAAACAUGGAAACUAAGAAGUAGUUCUUAUUCGAACAACUUAGAUUGGCAAUUGUGUAUUGCAAGGGGGAACGGCGAGUCCAUACAAACCAAUCUCCUUAUCGUCAUUGAGUUGUCUAAGAUUGGCGAUUGUAUUUGCGGCAUACCAUUUGAUGUUUGUUAUGAGAGCCUGAUGAUCUACCCUGUUCUGGAUAAGUGUGCCUCUUCACUUUAUAUUUUGGUGUUACCGUCCGGCUUCUCAAUGAUGACCACGAUAUUGUUAACUUUGAUGGAAUGCCCAUUAACAGAGGACGAGUAUGGACCUGCAAUUUAGAAUUACAAAAAUAGUGGUUAGCCUCUGUACACGUCAAAUGAGAUGGGCAUGUAUAAACAAUAAAUAUCUCUUGAAGUUUAAAGCCAAAAGUUUAGAUCCAGUAUGCAUAAUUAACAUUAACAUGACUUCAAGGGUUACAGUGUGGUGUUUAUGAAGGAUUCGAAAGUGAUUAACUAAUACAUUCAGAAAUCCUCAUUCAGAAUCAGAACGGCAUAGAUAUUCCACUUAGGGUAUACGAGCCUGCUAAGAUGUUCAACUUUUUGUUAGCAGCUCUUGCAAAGAUGACUAAAGAUAUUAUCAUGACAAGGGGGAGAAAGAGAAAGAGAAGGAUUAAGAAGAAGUGCUUGCUAAGGAAGAAUACAAAAUAAGAACACUGUCUUAAAUGUGCGUUUUCCAUCCUUAUACAAUCCUUGUUGAGCACUAAACUACCUGAAAAACAAGAAAGCGGGAUAAGAUUAACACAAAAUGAAUGUGCCAAAAGAAAACAUACAUAAAUGAAUAUUUCAUCUCAAGAUGAACCCAUACGUCCAUAUCUAGCUUGCCAUGGAUUGUAGGAAUAUUUCAUCUCAAGAUGAACCCAUACGUCCAUAUCUAGCUUGCCAUGGAUUGUAGGAAAAAUCAUUUGAAAUCAUAUUUGUUUAGCUGGCUGCUCCGCCCCUCUAUUCCAGCCGCUGAGGGCAUGACCGUGGUCAUCUCCUCCACUGACGCCGCGCUGAGACAUUGUUCCGGAGCGUCCGUGAAGAGCGGCGGCUGUUCACGUGUAUUGGUGGGUGUGAUCAUAUCAUUUAUCACAUGAUCCUGUACCUAAAUCCAAAACACACAACUUCAAAAGCUGAACCGAUAUAAGUAAGAGAAGAAUACUGAAUAUAUACCAAAUGCACCUUCUGCCUAUAAUCGAUGAAGCUGGUGCUUUCCUACAUGAAUGCCACUUCCAACUGUUGGCUCAUUUUCAGUUUUUGUCCGGUGAGGCAAAAUAAUGGCAACUG